GACACCCUCCUCUCCUACCCGCCACGCGCUCUCCGCAGGCCUGUGGGACACAAUCCUCCCCCCACCUCCCCUUCUCGGCCUUCGCAAGUGUGGGCGCCUUGGGGCACUGGCGAGCCUCUCCAGGUAACAAUAACGGCGCCUAUUCAAGUUGCAAGAACUAGAUAAGCUCUGCCAGUAUUUCCCAUUGGCCAAAUCCUACGGGAAGUGGAAGAUAAGAGAGCCCAUGGAUGCAGUCGAUUCAGGACUGAUGUUCUUCCAAUAGUCAAAGCUCCAUCGGCCUGAAUCCCUGAGUAAGAAUCACAC